rfam:Myotis lucifugus cont2.24824, whole genome shotgun sequence.
GGCAGUUCUUGGGUGAUGCACCCUGGAAUCAGGCUCCCUCCUCUCUGGUUCCAGGUGCAUCACCCAAGAAAAAUC